AGAAUAGCAAGAGAGAACUGCUUGGAGAAAUGGCUCAAGCAGAAGAAAGAGAGAGCUGUCUAGAGAUCUCCUAAGAAAGAAAGCAGAUGAGAGAAAGGAGGAGGGGAGAGAGAGAGAGAGAGAGAGAGAGAGAGAGAAAGAGAGAGAGAGAGCGAACACAGAACCGCAAGAAAGCAGGCUAGAAAGCUGUCUCUAGCAGAACAUAGGCCACAAGCUAGUUCCAUAGGCCACAAUUUGACUUGGAGCCCUUUGUUUGACCAUUCGCAGACACCCCUUCCUCAGGACCCCUCUCCAAGCCAAGGCUGGUCCUUGGUGAGCAGUUUUCGACAGUGGAUGAUGGGAACAGAACCCAGGCCUCUUCAAGAGCAGCAAGUGCUUCUAACUGCUGAGCCAGUUCUCCUGCCCUACUGACUAGGUAUGUUUUAAAUCCUUGCCUACUCAUUUGUUUCCUGCAAUAUUUCUGAACCAAUUUGGUACUGGCUGCUUUUUGCCUUGGUUUUUUCUUGUUUCUUAUGACUAAAGCAAUUUUUCAGCAUGUGAUAGACAUUGAGGAUAUGAAUUAAGAUUUUGUUUUGUUUUGUUUUCUCUCUUUUAAAAUCUAUUAAAAAUUUCCGGAGAGUACCUGUGGGGUGAGAGGGCAAUCAAGGGGAGCAAGCUGGCUUUCUGCCUCUACCAUGCAGGUCCCGGGUACACCUCCCCAACUAGGCCAUCUGUGAAGCUUCUGUCUAUCUUUUGACAAUAAGGUCUAAACUGACCCAAAGCUUACUAGUCAAUCCAGGCUAGCCUUGAUCUAGCAAUCCUCCUGACCCAGUUUACCAGGUGCUGGGAUUACAGACCAACAGUCAGGCUGAGGAUGUCCAAAAUUUAUGGUAUUCUUUGAAACUUUUAUUUUGGCAGACCGGGUAGCUAUUUCCGGGGCAGUCUGAGCCUAGCGAGGUUUCUUGGGGGCUUUGUUGGGGAGGGCGUCUGAAGUCGGCUUUACUCUGGGGCUAGUUUUGCUUGUCUCUUUGGGGUCUUCACAUAGGUUUGGUACAAACUCAACUGUCUCUCAUGCUGUGAGAGUGAAUGGGUGUUCCCUUUACAGUUCCCGGGCAUUGCUCUUCUCAGCCUCACUUGGUCAGUUUGCCACUGUGUGACUUAGUAUUCAGCCCAAAAAGAACUUUGGACUUGCUUUUCAGCACAGCUCUAUAACUUUAAUUUUUUCAAACACCUAUUUUUAAUGAUGGUUCUCAAACGCUUAAACCUCUCGUGUAGCACACCAUCCACCAGAGGUAGUGGGAAAGAAAGGAUACGGGGGAAGUGGACCUGUUUAGAAAGGUUCUUUGGAGCAACUCCAGUCUGUGUUGUCUGGAAAUCUGCAGUUCAGUUCACAGGCUAGCAGGCAGAGGCAGCUCGACCCACUCUCAAACACUUCAUGGACACACCAGCAGUCCAGUGCAGUAGAGUUGGGACAGCAAACAUGAAUCAGCAGCGGUGGCACAUAGAGACAGCCAGGCCUCAGCCUCGGCACAAGUCGGCAUGAGGGACCCGGAGGGACACCAGGAAAUGUUCUCUGCUGUGCCUUUCUCAGUGAGUUGAAGAUCAGUGAAGACUUGAGACUCACAAGCGCUGCUAGCUCUAUAAGCAAGCCUCGCUCAGCCUCUGUCACUGUCCACUGAGUCCUAUUUAUAUCCUCCAAACAUGUCCUCCACCGGUCUUGCCUCAGCAUGUUCAUCUGUCUCAGCUGACAUCACUCUGUCAAUCAUCCCGAGUUCUUGGAAGCCAUAAGACACUGCAGCACACCACCAGAAGUUUUUUUGGAGCGUUUCUUACUAUGGAGUCCCGAAAAACGCAGCUUAACUAUGCAAUGUAAGGCAGACAGACCAAUACCUGCAUAUUGAAUCCUUCAUCAUGUGUCCUUUCAAGUGCUUGCUUUAGCAGAAGAUCCUGCCUCCUGUGUCAGCUUCAGGUAAACGGUCUUUCACAAGUCUGCCUUAGCCUUUCACCUGUGUCCACUUCAGCUAAACAUCCCUCCCUGUGUUUGCCCCAGCAAAACACCAUCCAACUGACUUUCCAAAGAACCCUUAAGUUUCCACUUCAUAGCUCUCUCUCCUCUCUAUGACUCUAAUCCCCAAUUUCCAAUGAUAAGCGUCCCAAACUCUGACCUGUCUCAGCACACCUACCAUGCUCUUGAGUCUCUUCUUCCUAUGCCAGAAUCCAGGCACUGCUCUCAUGGAGACCAGCAUCUCCCCCCACCACACUAAAGUCGAUGCCCCAGUGCUGUGUUGCAGUUUAGUUUCCUUUGUUCUGUGUGUGCACACACACAUAAACAUACAUGUACACUCACUCACUCGCAUGCUAGAGAACUACAUCAGGUAUCUUCCUCAAUAUUUCUGCACUUAGGGGGUUUUUGGUUGUUUUUUGUUUGCUUGUUUGUUUUUUGUUGUUUUUUUCUUUGUUUUGUUUUAGGACAGGGUCUGUCACUAUAUCUGAAGCUUGACAAUUUGACUAGACUGGCUGACAAUUAAGGCUGAGUGAAUUUCCUGUCUCUGCCUGUUCAGCUCUAGGAUUAUAGGCACCAACCACUAUAUACCCCUCUCUCUUAAUAUGAGGACUACUGAUCAAACUCAGGUCUCUACAGCAAGAGAACUAGUUCUGGAACCUGCUAUCAAAGUUUAAAGUGGAAGGCUAUACCAAUUUUUAAAAUUAAGGUCUCAUUUUGUAGACCUGGCUGACCUGGAACUUUCUUUUUUUUUUUCCCCAAAGAUUUAUUUAUUAUUUAUUAUAUGUGAAGUACACUGUAGCUGUCUUCAGACACUCCAGAAGAGGGAGUCAGAUCUCAUUACAGAUGGUGGUGAGCCACCAUGUGGUUGCUGGGAUUUGAACUCCGGACCUUCGGAAGAGCAGUUGGGUGCUCUUACCUGCUGAGCCAUCUCACCAGCCCGACCUGGAACUUUCUAUGUAGACCAGGCUGGCCUUGAAUUUGGAGAUUUACCUGCCUUAGCCUCCUGGGUGCUAAGAUGGCAGGUGUGUGCCAUUAUGCCCAGUCAUAUGCCAGUUUUAAAAGUGCUUUUCAGAUAUAUCUGGGUGAGGCUGGAGAUGGGGCUCAGAAGUUAUAAACACUUGCAGAAGUGCCUGAGUUUCCAGCACCCUGGUUGGAUAACUAGCAACUUCCUAUAACACCAUCUCUGAGAGAUCCUGUGCCUCUGGCCUCUGGAGGCAUCUGCACACACAUGGCAGACACACACAUAUAGAUAAAAAUAAAACCAGGCUAGAGAUAUGACUCUGUGGCUAAGAACAUGCACUGCUCUUGUAGAGGACCUGCAGUUCCUAGCACCUGGAACUGCCUUAAGUGCUACCCCAGGGGAUCUGAGGACUCCCUGGACACCUGCACUCACACAUGCACACACACACGUUUUUACACACAUAAUGAAAAACAAAGCAGGGGCUGGAGAGAUGGCUCAGUGGUUAAGAGCACUGACUGCUCUUCCGAAGGUCCUGAGUUCAAAUCCCAAAAACCACAUGGUGGCUCACAACCAUCUGUAACUAGAUCUGAUGCUCUCUUCUGGUAAAUCUUAGCUGCAGUGUACUUAGAUAUAAUAAUAAAUAAAUCU
rnacentral:lncRNA from 1 species